rnacentral:misc_RNA from 1 species
GAAAUGCGAUAAUUAAUGUGAAUUGCAGAAUUCAGUGAAUCAUCGAGUCUUUGAACGCACAUUGCGCCCCCUGGUAUUCCGGGGGGCAUGCCUGUCCGAGCGUCAUUGCUGCCCUCAAGCACGGCUUGUGUGUUGGGCUUCCGUCCCUGGCAACGGGGACGGGCCCAAAAGGCAGUUGCGGCACCAUGUCUGGUCCUCGAGCGUAUGGGGCUUUGUCACCCGCUCCCGUAGGUCCAGCUGGCAGCUAGCCUCGCAACCAAUCUUUUUAACCAGGUUGACCUCGGAUCAGGUAGGGAUACCCGCUGAACUUAAGC